rnacentral:rRNA from 1 species
CCCUAGUGACCGAUAGUGAACCAGUACCGUGAGGGAAAGGUGAAAAGCACCCCGGAAGGGGAGUGAAAGAGAUCCUGAAACCGUGUGCCUACAAGUAGUCAGAGCCCGGUAACGGGUGAUGGCGUGCCUUUUGUAGAAUGAACCGGCGAGUUACGAUCCCGUGCAAGGUUAAGCAGAAGAUGCGGAGCCGCAGCGAAAGCGAGUCUGAAUAGGGCGAAUUGAGUACGUGGUCGUAGACCCGAAACCAGGUGAUCUACCCAUGUCCAGGGUGAAGUUCAGGUAACACUGAAUGGAGGCCCGAACCCACGCACGUUGAAAAGUGCGGGGAUGAGG